AAGUUUACCAGAAGGAAAUGACAUUCAACCUGAGAUGGAUGGAGCCAGAGUGGCAGCUAGCUAAUGACCUUGACCUCAGUGAUGUAAAAGCUUUAUAGGAAAGAAGGUAUUCCUACCAUAUACAUCAGAAAUAACUGCAGAUAUUCAAGUCAAACACCUUGAAAUUGCCCUUGAUUCUACUUUUACUUCUCACAUAAAAUCCUCUGCAAAUUCUGUCAUUUUUACCUACAAAUAUAUCUAGGAUCCAGCCAUUUUUCACCAUCCCCACUACUAUUCUUCAGAUACAGAACACAUACUCACCUGAAUUAGCUCCUUAUGUCCUAUGGUCUCUGAGAUAGGAAAGACUUCCUGCUUCCCUGUAUUCUACAUCCACCACAGAAACUAGAAAAAGUCAGCUAAACCACAAGUUAGAUGUUGUCAUUCCUCUGCUGAAAACCCUCUGUAGUGAGAUGAAUUGUCCCUACCACCCCAGAAGGUAUGUUCAUAUUCUAACCCCUGGAAUCUGUGAAUGUGACCUUAUUUGAAAAAAAAAAAAAUCUUUGAAGAUGUAAUUAAGGAUCUUAAUAUGAGAUCAUCUUGUAUUAUACAGAUGGGCUCUAAAUCCAGUGACAAGUGUCCUUAUAAGAUACAGAAGGAGAGGAUGCAGUGACACUGAGGAGAAGGCCACCAGAACACAGAGGCAAAUAUAUUGGAGUGACAUAGUCCCAAGCCAAGAAAUGCCUGGAGCCAUGGGAAGACAAUUGAGCCUAUAGAAACACAGACGGUGCCUAGAUGAUUACAGCCGACUUCUGCUGACUCAACCAACGAGUAGCACCAGUUGAAGCUGUAAUGCCGAACAUGCUGUCUUCGCUUAAAAGAUUAAUGAGGCUUCAAGCACAUGGUUACCACUGAGUUGAAGCAUGCAGGCUUUUCCAUCUUCAUCAAGAAGGAGGACUCUAAAAAAAUGAGGAAAUGGAGUUACAAAGAAGUAUGAGACUUGCCUAUGGAGGCACUGAGAUCCAGGCCAAGGUCACCUUGCAGCCAGUUUGCUUUCUGGGGUGCAAUGACCGAAUGUAAAACUUGUUGAUUGUGGGAAAGAAUCAACUUAUUGCUGAUCCAGCACAGACAUCUUAGUUGGUUUUAUUAACUAAUGUCAAGCAUGACAAUAUUCUAUUUUCAAAUCAGAUUCUUGGACUUCUCUGGCUUCAGCCACUGGAAACUCU
rnacentral:lncRNA from 10 species